GCCUACGGGGGGCAGCAGUCGAGAAUCAUUCACAGUGGGGGAAACCCUGAUGGUGCGACGCCGCGUGGGGGAAUGAAGGUCUUCGGAUUGUAAACCCCUGUCAUGUGGGAGCAAAUUAAAAAGAUAGUACCACAAGAGGAAGAGACGGCUAACUCUGUGCCAGCAGCCGCGGUAAUACAGAGGUCUCAAGCGUUGUUCGGAAUCACUGGGCGUAAAGCGUGCGUAGGCUGUUUCGUAAGUCGUGUGUGAAGGGCGCGGGCUCAACCCGCGGACGGCACAUGAUACUGCGAGACUAGAGUAAUGGG
rnacentral:rRNA from 1 species